rnacentral:lncRNA from 1 species
UUGAAUUCCUCAUUGAUCAAUCUCCAGAGAGCAUGAGAAGUACUGCAGCUGCACUCAACUCGUUAACAACAUCUUUUGGAAAUUAUUUAGGCACUCUCAUGGUAUCUGUAGUUCACAAUUAUACCGGUAACGAGCACAACUGGCUACCUGACCGGAAUCUCAACAAGGGAAAAUUGGAUUAUUAUUACUGGCUUGUGACUGGAGUACAGGUUUUAAAUCUCAUAUAUUACAUGAUAUGUGUCUGGUUUUAUAAGUAUAAACCUUUGGAGGAGCUGACUGAAAGUAUCAAGGAAACUGACGUGGAGUUAGCUAACAACAAAAAUUCUUCAAGCACAGCAAAUUAACUGGUUCUAAAGGUGAUAGAGGAGUAGAACAAUAACAACAAGGGGAAAUGUUAGACCGUGAACAAGAAAUCAAGAAAAUAGAAUAGUGAUUUCAUCACUUUACUUCCGCCUACUUGUUCACAGCUGUUGUAAAUUGACGUAUAUGCUUAUAAUAAGUAAUAUUCCCUCCGUUACAAUUUAAAUGAUAACUUUCUUUAUUAGUCCGUUACAAAAAAAAUAACAUAUUUUUAUAUUUGAAAACAAUUUAAUUCUAAACUUUCAUUUUACAAACUUUACCCUUAAUAAAAAGCUUUUAUAUAGGCACAAAAAUAUCAUGACCCACAAAACUUUUGACCCUAAAUUUUUAGGACCACAUGUUUUAAAAAUCUUUUUUUUUCUUCUUAAAUUUUGUGUCAAGUCAAAUUACAUCAUUUAGAUAGAAACAAAAAGAGAAAUACUUACUGUAACGGUAUAUCGUUCUUCCUAUUCCCAUAUUUUUCUUUUCUUCUCCAAGUUGUAUGCUAGAUCCCAGCCAAGUUUGGUUUGAUUUUAAUUAGUGGACUUGGUCUUGUUGGAAUAUAAGCUAGCUAUAUAGGUUCUCGCUAACAUGUCACAAGGUACAAAGAGGAUGCAUGAAAGAAGAUGAACAUAAAGCACACUUGAUACAAAACAAUAUUCAGAAGGGGGACAGGGGUAUAUAGGUACUUAGAUGCUAGAAACUAGGUACAACACUAGCUUGGACAGCUGGACUUAGUCACAAGUGUAUGAGCUACUAGAAGUUCUACAAAUAGAGUCUGAAAUAAAUAUUACUGUUUCGAAUGAAAUGAACAGUAAAUAAGGAAAGAGGAAGGGGACUUCAAGGUCUGCGGACGCCAGCAGAUCUACCUCGAGUCAACAAAUAUGCCAAUCCGAGCUGACGCACCUCACGUACAGCUGAGACCAGUACCAAAAUCUGCACAGGAAGUGUAGAGUGUAGUAUGAGUACAACCAAUCCAAUGUACUACGUAAGUGUCGAGCCUAACCUCGACGAGGUAGUGACGAUACUAUGACAGAAAACUCACGAAAUUUAACAUGUACAAACGAAGAUAUACGUGCAACAUAACAACAAAUAGAGAUUACAUACGUACGAUUCGGAGGGGAAAUGCAAAAGGGGGUACGAGGUAUGGUAACUAUAACAGGAAUGACAACAUGAGACAGUCAAAUAAACCAUCAACUAAUGAAAACGGAUAAACAUAAUGAAUAAAGAUAGCACGACAUCACCCAUCAUGCUAUUACUCAUAGCCCUACCAUGAAAUAAUAAUAAUGGCAUGGUAUCACCCUUCGUACUUUUAAUAUUAAUCUCUCCAUGAAACGAUAAAUAUGGUACGUCAUUACCCUUUAUGCUUUAACUCUCUUCUUCACUAUGUAUUAAUCAAUAAAUGAAGAAAUAAUCGGCACGACAUCGCCCUUCGUGCUUUAACACUCUCCCUUACCAUGUGGUAAUGAAUAUAAGAAUAAGCAAGAAUAAAUCUUACGUCAAAAUGGUUCUGAGAUACAAAUCCUCAAUUUCAAAGAAAUACUCCACCAUCACCAUUUAAUUCAUCAAUGUGGAAAGAACGAUCAAAUAAAGAACAAACUAUUCUAGGCAUGAAUAUCGUAAGUAAAGAAGGCAAUAAAUUACAAGAAAUAAGUCACACCCGCAUGCUUUAACCCAACAACAACGCAUAAGUACUCCCCACCUCACAUAUACGUUGUAUCCAAAUAUUUAAACACGUAGCAAAUAGGCAAACAAGUCUUAAUCUCUCAAGUCAAGGUUCACCAAGAAACUUACUUCGCUCCGCAAUCGACUCAAAGUUCAACCAUGGCCUUGCCUUUCGAACAAACCUCCGAACCAACCAAAUCUAGCAAAUUAUUAACCAAAUGAUUCAAAAUACGCCUUAAGAACUACCCACGAAUGAAAGAGGUUCAAUCUAGAUCAUUAUUGAAAAGACAACCUCGGACCCGCUUGGUCAAAAUCCAAAAUUCGGACCAAAAUCCGAUUACCCAUUCACUCCCGAGUCCGGUUAUGUAAUUUGUUUCUAAAUCCGACCUCAAUUAUCGAUCUAAAUUCUAAUUUUACAAAAAUUCCUAAUUCUAUCCAAAUCCUCAAUUUCUACUAUAAAAAUCCUAGAUUUUUGGUUUGAAUCUUAUGAAAUGUAAUAGGUAAUUAAAAGGAAGUAGGUUAGAGUUACUUACCAAUGAGUUGAGGAAGAAAAACUCUUGGAAAAAUCGCCUCUAAGGUUUUUAGGGUUGAGAAUUUGAAAUAAUGAGCUAAAAUCCCAUUUUUUCCUUCUUAAGUCCAGGUGCAGAUAUCACAAAUGCGACAUGAUUGCGAACCCCGCAAAUAUAUGAAAGUCGUCGCAAAUGCAAAGAUUCCCAUCUCUGCUGCCAUCGCAACCAGCACUCAUACCUUAACUUGGCCGAGCGAAACUUCUAAUUUAUUAUUUCUAUUCUACAAUACAAGUAAAACCAAUCUAAAAUUCAACAAAAAAUCUUGAUUUUUUCUGAAAAAAUCUUAGCAUAAUUUCAGCUUGUUAAAUAAUAUAUCUAAGAUCAACUAAAUGAAACCAUGACAAUAUCUGGACAUUAAAUUCUUGACUCUUCUAUGUCAAUGAAGCCUCUUAGAACUACUGAAUAAUAAAAGACUGAAUUUUAAAAUCAAUGAAAUUCAUAAACUAGAAUGGAGCUCAUCAAAUCUGCUCCAUGGGAGGAGAAUAUCCUAGCUCGUAAAUUGACAUAGGUUAAUGUAGGUUCCUACAAGUAGAAUGUCAGUACAACAUAAUUGUUCUUAGUAAGUAAAAUAAUCCUCUCACUAAAAUUGAAACGAGACUCUGAAUGAAAUACGUUGGCAGGAUAUGAUAAAAUUCUAAAAAGUUUCUUUAUGAGCAGUUAAAACAAACAACUCAUAUUUGUGUUGUAAAAAUUCUUCUUUCUUUUAUUCAUGAAAAUUCUUCUUUCUUUCUUUUAUUUUCUUGUCUGGAACAACUCAAACAUAUAAACAUUUAAACUUUUUCUCCAAAAAAUACUUGUAAGUUCCCAAAACAUGUUCUUUAUUUUUUUUUCUUUUUAGGGAGUACCAUUGAUUUUGACAUUCUUUCUUAUUUUUUUCUAAGAAUAUCACCAUGUGAUCAAUAAUGGCGGAUUAUCCCAGCCCAAUCGCCUGGAUCCCAUUCCUAGUGGUGCUUCAUAGUUUAAGGUUCUAGCAUGCUUGCAUUCUUGUGCUUAUUACCGGUGCAUUUCUAUCAUAGGGACCGGACCAACGAUACACUAAUCCUACUCCAUCACGAGUAGUUUCAGGAUUACAUAAGCCACUAGAGACUAUACGCCCUUCUUAGAAAUCUAAGGAAACUUCCAAAAUAUUUUUAUGAGCAAUCUUUUAAUCAUAAAAUCUAAAAUAAUAUUAUUUCUUCAUAAUGCUCAUCAAAACAGUUUUAUCUUAUGAAAGAAGCUUCAAUAGUUUAUAGUAUUAAGAAAAUAUAUGCAAGUCAUAAAAUGCAUGCGACAUAAUUUAUGAAAUAAUGAACCUUUCUUGUAAGAUUAAACAGGAUAAUCCUUUAAAUACUUUUCUAUAGUUCUAAUGAAUAAUGUGAGUCCGCUCUCUCUAAUCAAAAAUGCACCUUGACAUUCUAUAUGAUUUAAUAAUAAUAUGUGGUAUGAUAUUUGUGAGAAGACAACUUUAAUAAAAGUAUUAUCUCAACUCACCUUGAUUUUUCCCUUUCGAAUACUUUAGUCACUCAAUUUCAAGGGAUUCAAUUCACCAAACCAAUCUCUACAUUGGUAAUUCAAGAAUCAAUUCUAAAAGUUUCAAAAUUUCAAGCUUUGGAAGCCCUAGGUUUGCUUCUUUCUCAAUUUUCCAAAGUUUGUACUUAAUCUAUAUUUUUGUAGUAUAUUAUAGGAAUGGAUAUCAACAAAAAUCUUCCCUAAUAAUCAUAGUUGAAAGCAGAUUGCGGAGUUUAACUUGAAUCGCGAAAUCCUAAGUUGGAGGAAAACCUUGUUCGCGAAUCCUUGUUGAAAAUCUAGUGAUUCCAAGAUGUAAUCUUGUUAGAAUCGAUGUUUGGAAGUAGUAAUUUAACUUUAAUUGCAUUAAAAACUCACCUUAUGUAGUAUAGGAACUCUUGGAUGACUUGGGAUUGAGAGAGAAGGUCUAAUAUUUGAAGAAUGAAGUUAUUUUCUCUUUCCUUUGUCCCUUUUUAUACUUGGAGCAGGGUUUAUGAGUGGCCACACGUAGCUAUGCGUGGCAACACGUAGCCACACACAUUCCCUUAUGGGUGGCCACGUGUAGUGUGCAAACGCAUGGUCAGAUCCCUUCCCUUUUUCCUUGGCUUUCUUGCCGGAAAGGCCACGUCUUCUAUAUUGCUUUUCCAUGCACAACUUGUGCGGUUUUUGGCUUAGGUGUGCGUGGCCUUGGCCCCCNNNNNNNNNNNNNNNAACAUGGGGGAGUUAAAUAAGGUUUUAUAGAAGAAUUUCGAAAUUGAACAAAGGAGUGCAAUUACGAAUUUUUAGUGGAACAAUUCGUAAUUUAUUAUGAUGGAAAUUAGUUUCAGAAUUUCGAAAUUAAUAUCAUAAUAAGAAGCCUUGUUAAUUAAAUUCUGUGGUCCCUACUAUGCCUAAAUAAUAGAAAAUAGUGGAAAUUGUUACUUAGUGGGAAAGAAAACGUGGAAACCAUCCCUUAGUGGGAGAAGGAAACCUAACAGGUUUUGAAAACGGUUUUGACCUAAAAAACGCAGCUAUAUAUAUGGAUAUAAGGGCUAGACGUUUUUUACAUGAUUCUGACUGCGGUUUCUACUAGAAUUUUGCCCACCCAAAAUUCUCUAUUUUCGGUUAUUGUUUGGGUAACACAGUAGAAGACUGUGAAAAUCUGCUAGUGUAUUUUCAACUGAGGAACUGGAGAACGACCUAGAUUUGUUGUGUUUACACUUCAAGAGGUAAUCCUAAAAUCUCCAUAUGUGCUAAUUGUUUAGAUUACACAUGAAUAAGAUUCUAUUAUUGCUUCCGCUGUGGUAUAUAUUCCAACAGAUCAAUCUCCAGAGAGCAUGAGAAGUACUGCAGCUGCACUCAACUCGUUAACAACAUCUUUUGGAAAUUAUUUAGGCACUCUCAUGGUAUCUUUAGUUCACAAUUAUACCGGUAACGAGCACAACUGGCUACCUGACCGGAAUCUCAACAAGGGAAAAUUGGAUUAUUAUUACUGGCUUGUGACUGGAGUACAGAUUUUAAAUCUCAUAUAUUACAUGAUAUGUGUCUGGUUUUAUAAGUAUAAACCUUUGGAGGAGCUGACUGAAAGUAUCAAGGAAACUGACGUGGAGUUAGCUAACAACAAAAAUUCUUCAAGCACAGCAAAUUAACUGGUUCUAAAGGUGAUAGAGGAGUAGAACAAUAACAACAAUGGGAAAUGUUAGACCGUGAACAAGAAAUCAAGAAAAUGGAAUAGUGAUUUCAUCACUUUACUUCCGCCUACUUGUUCACAGCUGUUGUAAAUUGACGUAUAUGCUUAUAAUAAGUAAU